rnacentral:snoRNA from 1 species
AAUCCAGCCAAUUAAUCUGCUUAUCUGAGUGUGUUUGUGUAAAACUUUAGGAAAAACUGUCAGUAGUGAUGCCAUGUUAAGGAUCACUGAAGCUGUGAAGGUCCUGGGAAAAGGCUGUGAUG